UACGUAGGGUGCGAGCGUUGUCCGGAAUUACUGGGCGUAAAGAGCUCGUAGGUGGUUUGUCGCGUUGUUCGUGAAAUCUCACGGCUUAACUGUGAGCGUGCGGGCGAUACGGGCAGACUAGAGUACUGCAGGGGAGACUGGAAUUCCUGGUGUAGCGGUGGAAUGCGCAGAUAUCAGGAGGAACACCGGUGGCGAAGGCGGGUCUCUGGGCAGUAACUGACGCUGAGGAGCGAAAGCGUGGGGAGCGAACAGGAUUAGAUACCCUGGUAGUCCACGCCGUAAACGGUGGGUACUAGGUGUGGGUUUCCUUCCCUUGGGAUCCGUGCCGUAGCUAACGCAUUAAGUACCCCGCCUGGGGAGUACGGCCGCAAGGCUAACACUC
rnacentral:rRNA from 1 species